UUGAAUGGGAAUAGAUUACAAAUAUAAUUUGAAUGGAGAAUCUUAAUUUAACUACAUUUUUAGUUGUUAUAAAUGUUGCAAAUCUAUUUAAUUCAAUUAGGUUCCCCACCAAAAAUUAUUGGCAGGGUCUUAUU
rnacentral:sRNA from 1 species